GCGGCUUUAGUUUUGUGGACCCGUACAUUUCCGGGAAACCCGUUAAAUUGUGCCAGGAAACCCAUGAAUGGCCAUAACAGUACUCGAGAAAAGCGUACCAUGGUCCACGGCAACGCAAGCGAUACAGCACGACUAAGAACAGCGGAUGCGAGGACAAGCUCCACCACGGCGGAACAUGCAAAGGAUGUCAAUAAGCAGCAUUCAAGAUACCCAGCUGCAAUCAUCUAUUCCGAACCAGUUCCUCAGCCACGAUUGCAACCACAAGCGCCAGCCGUCACUGAUAGCUGAUAGAAUCACCAGCGGCAACAGCACCAACACCAAAUCAAACAUCCGCCGGAAGCGUUCCUGCAUCACUACUUUUUGUCUUCUGGUAAAAUCUAAAGCGGAAAAGCUACAAAUCGGUGAUGAGGCUCUGGAUGCUUUGAAAGAACAAACAUUAAGUGUCCAUUUGAAUGUGAAAACUGGUUGUCAAUCUGAACAAAAAAUGCUUACUCAAUCAAAGUCGGUCGGUGGAAAAUGCUAUGCCCCCAAGAAACAUUCAUCUCCAUCUAGAAUCACUGAAUCAAAGAGGCAGGUGCUCGAGGUAACGAGAACCUCAAUUAUGGAAACAGCAUUCAUAUACCAUUGUUUAUUUUGAAAGGUUUGUCACAUUCGAUAAAAAUGCAUGCCUUUGGUUCCAUAUCAGCCAAAAGAAAAUGCACACAACCGGAGGAGCCAGCGCUUGAAGCAAUAACAAAAAAACGACUUCUCCAGAACCGCACUCGCACUACAGGUUCCAGCUCCAGGUGGCUCUACAUUGGGAUUUGUCGGCCAUGUUGACCAUGUUUUCUACAGUGAAAGGACUGCAACCCAAGCCGACGAGGUGAUGUUCAUUAGCAGCGCAAACGCUAGCUGCAGCCACCGAUAGCCAAGUAACUUUCUAUACCAAGUCGAUGUGAGGGCUUAUUAUAAGGCAGAUAAUGCGUGAAAAAUAGCAAUCUCUCAUGAAAUUAUCCAUUGCACAGAUUCGAAAAGCCACAAAAAAACCAAAAAGACGCUAUUUUAGACAGAAUUACAGCUCCGGUGGCACAUUUAACCAGCACCACGGUAAUGUUAAAUGUUCUAACAGCAACAUCUUCUUCUGGUUGAAUGAUGUCAGGGUGCUCAAGACUUUUGAAAGCUAAAAACGCACUGAGGCUAAAUUCAAGAUAAAAAUCAUUAUUACCGAACGGCAAUUAAGAUCCUAUCAACAAACUAGAUGACAUUUGUGAUGCUAAAUAUCAGCUCAAAUGAGCCAGCGAUUGCCACCUAUUUUAUGGAUAAAAGUUCUAUUUUUUCUUCGAACAUUCCAAUGAUUCGAAUGGAACCGAUGUAACAGAAGGACCGCUUUUAAAAGGAUUCACGUCGACAUGUUUUUUAAUGUUGUUUUAAGACGUUUAGACCUUUUUUUAUAACCGCAAUAGUUAAGUUAAUAUUUUCUAAAAGCUAUUGCAAUUUUUAGUGUUCAUAAUAGAAUUUACAUUAAGAAUGAAUGUAAGACAACAGAAUGUUCAAUUCAUGUUUCUAAGAUACUUAGUUGGCAAUUUAGUCUGAAAAUGUAUGCCCAAAUUAAAUGGAAUGGAAUGAAUAAAAUGGAAUGAAAUGGAAUUAAGGCCAGGAUAGAAAUAGUAUCAAUUAUCAAUUUUUUUUCAAUUUAUUAUCAGACUAUAGUACUAUGAUAUGCCUUAUAAUUUCUACAUAAAACAGCUUGAAGCAGAAUUGAAAAUAAUAAUUUAAAAUAAAAUUCAGAAUCAGAUAUCAAAUUUUUUGAACCGUAAGAUAUAAGAAUUCAGAAUGCUAAACCAAAAUUACAAAACCUAUUUUAAGACUAAAGAUGUCAAUGUCAUGAGUCUAUCGUUUUCAGAAUUGGUAUCAAAAAGUAUCAGAUCCUCUUUUUAUGCAUUCAAAAAAUUUCAAAUUUGAAUAUUGAAAACUGGAAAGCACUUUGGAUUUUCAAACAACAUUAAGAAAAAUUCUGAAAAGCAUUACAGGUUAAUUAAGGCUGAACGUACAAAUCAGCCUAGAAAAUUUCUUUGCAUCUUAUGAAAAUUUGUAUGAACAUCAAACUUAAAUUAGUGCCAAAGUAAAUAAAA